AAUGAUGUGGCAUCAUAUUAUUACUAAAGCUUCGGCGGUACAAGAUGAGCAUGCGUCCCAUUAGCUAGUUGGUAAGGUAACGGCUUACCAAGGCAACGAUGGGUAGGGGUCCUGAGAGGGAGAUCCCCCACACUGGUACUGAGACACGGACCAGACUCCUACGGGAGGCAGCAGUGAGGAAUAUUGGUCAAUGGUCGGAAGACUGAACCAGCCAUGCCGCGUGCAGGAUGACGGCCCUAUGGGUUGUAAACUGCUUUUGUACGGGAAGAAACACCGGUUCGUGAACCGGCUUGACGGUACCGUAAGAAUAAGGAUCGGCUAACUCCGUGCCAGCAGCCGCGGUAAUACGGAGGAUCCAAGCGUUAUCCGGAAUCAUUGGGUUUAAAGGGUCCGUAGGCGGUCUUAUAAGUCAGUGGUGAAAUCUGGUCGCUCAACGAUCAAACUGCCAUUGAUACUGUAGGACUUGAAUUACUGUGAAGUAACUAGAAUAUGUAGUGUAGCGGUGAAAUGCUUAGAGAUUACAUGGAAUACCAAUUGCGAAGGCAGGUUACUAACAGUGGAUUGACGCUGAUGGACGAAAGCGUGGGGAGCGAACAGGAUUAGAUACCCUGGUAGUCCACGCUGUAAACGAUGGAUACUAGUUGUUUGGAUUUAUCUGAGUGACUAAGCGAAAGUGAUAAGUAUCCCACCUGGGGAGUACGAACGCAAGUU
rnacentral:rRNA from 1 species